rnacentral:lncRNA from 1 species
CAGGACUAAAGCUUUUAUGGCAACUGGGAGCUGCUAUACUUGGUGGUGAGCAGUUAAACAUCACAUCCCAUGGGAACUAAAGUCAGGAACAUGAAUAUACCUGUGAAGCUGACUCCCUGAGAGUGCUCCUGAAAGUGUUCCCUGAUGGAAGUUUCAGAACGUAGCUUUCUUGCAGUUGCAAAUUCUUUGGUAAAGGAUUUUAUAGGAUUCACAGUCAUACUUCCAUUCAGCGAAAAGGGAAGUGGUGGAAAGAAAGGAAGCCUCAGCUUGAGUGACGGUAUCAUGAGACAGCAUCAAGAAAGAGAGAAUUGCGCAGCACUGGUGAUGUGCUGUCAUGGUCACUGUUGUGAGUGUCAAAGAGAGGAGAAACAACAGGCUAUGAGAAGUGCAGUGCAAGCCAUGGAACCUGUGGGUGCAAAAGUGUACAAAAUACGGUUUCUUAGUGUGGAUUUUGGAAUCUAG